UGAAUUGUUCUAAUCGAGUCAAAUUUAAAGUUAUACAAAUUUUAUUAUCAUUACAGUAAAAAAAAAUAAUCAAACCUGCUCUGAUUGGUAUUGGACCCGUUGAACAUGAGUUUGGUGGAUUGGCCAAAUUUGCCCAGUCAAAUUUUUACACCUCUUUUAUCUUCCUGGUAAGAAUUUAAUGCCUUUUAAUUUGAAAAGACUUUUCCAAUCUUCUUGUGUCAUAGCAACAUGUCAUGGUUAUAAAAAAAAAUCAUCAUUUUAAUAGAAGUAUCAGAAAUGAACCUGGCCCAUGCUUAAAUCCUCACAAAAAAUGUAUUAAGCAAGCCACAAAAGAUCUAAACAGGACUCAAUCAAAUUCCUCAU
rnacentral:lncRNA from 1 species